CCUACGGAGGCAGCAGUGAGGAAUAUUGGUCAAUGGACGAGAGUCUGAACCAGCCAAGUAGCGUGAAGGAUGACUGCCCUAUGGGUUGUAAACUUCUUUUAUAUGGGAAUAAAAUGUUCCACGUGUGGGAUUUUGUAGGUACCAUAGGAAUAAGGAGCGGCGAACUCCGUGCCAGCAGCCGCGGUAAUACGGAGGAUCCGAGCGUUAUCCGGAUUUAUGGGGUAUAAAGGGAGCGUAUGUGGAUUGUGAAGUCAGUUGUGAAAGUUGGCGGCUCAACCGUAAAAUUGCAGUUGAAACUGGCAGUCUUGAGUGCAGUAGAGGUGGCCGGCAUUCGUGGUGUAGCGGUGAAAUGCUUCGAUAUCACGAAGAACUCCGAUUGCGACGGCAGCUCACUGGACUGCAACUGACACUGCGGCUCGACCGUGUGGGUAUCAAACAGGAUUAGAUACCCCUGUAGUC
rnacentral:rRNA from 1 species